CUGCACCCCAGCGGCCCCACUCCUUCCUCCCUGGUGCGAGUGCGCCCGAGCGUUCACUUUUCGGUGACUCCCUUUCCCCCGCCUCGCAGAGACUUUCCGUGGCUCCCCCUUCCCCCCAUCCGGCCUCUCAGACGUGGCUCCUGGAGGCAGGGGGGGUGUGGGGGGGAGGAGGUAUAAAGGGCGGGAGACCUCGCGGGCCGAGACCCGAGACGUGGCGCGCCCACCCUGCCGGCCUCAUCUCCAGGUACGUGCGCGUCCCCCGGCCGAAUCUGGCCAUGUGGGGGGCGGGGGGGGGGCAGGGGCGGCCUGGGCCUCCGGGACUCCGAGUUUGUGAUUUUGUUCGUUUUGUGUGACAUCCACAUGCGUGCUCCGAGCUGGAAACUCCUAAAAGACCGAGGGUUGCUUCGGGUUCUUGGAGGAGCUAUUUUAGGGUGCACCUCCCGGCUAGUUCGGCUGAACUUAAGUGGAAUGAAGUUAGAGAAAUGAACAAAUCCGACCAACCAAGGGAGGCAAGUCAGGGGGGUCCCCAGGGAGCCACGCGGAAAAGAAAGCCUCGGAUGGAUAAAAUCAACUUGUCCAAUUCUGGACCAAAUGUUACUUGUUGCACUUUUGUCGGAUCUUUCGGCCUGUGGAGCAAGUGUAAAAGUGAAAAGAUUCAUGACUGGAAAGCAUAGUACUUUUCAAAACGCCUAGAAUUUGAUACUUUGUUGCAAAACUUCCGUUUGGAACUCAGAGGGGUAGGGGGUCACUCUUCCCUCUGGAUGGGGGUGGGGAACGGUAUCUCUGGGCCCUGUUUAUCCAGAUCUGGGCCUCAGAUGCCUCAGAAGGUGACUUGGAAGUUUCCCUUGCAUAAGGAAGUGCAUGAAUGCUCCCACCGCUGUCCCCUCUGCAGUGACAUAGGAUGCCCCUAUGGCCCACAUUCACACAGCCGCUACAGGGUCUGGUUCUUGGGAUUUGUCUGACGCGGAAGGGCCCGGUGUGCCCUAACUGUGCCAGUGAGCUGAUCUCUAAAACAAAGAACACAUCCCUGGCUGUGAGGCGUGGUGGCUCACGCAGUAGCCACGUAGAUCCAAGAGGAGGACAAUAGAAAUAAAUACAAAGUGACAUUGAUUUGUCUUUAUAGUCUAGAAAUAUUUUUUAUAUAAAAGAUAAUUCUGAAUUGCUUUUCAUAAAAGCAAUUCUGAAGGUUUCCGUGGAAGCUCAACCCAGCCCCAGAUCUCCAGUUUGUCUCUCUCACUGUGGGUACUCAAGGGCUCACUCGGAUUUCCUGUAAGACAUCCAGAGGAAAUGUCAGUGUUGGAGGGCCUCUUUGAAGAAGGAUUGUUUCCUGAGUUGUGCUGGGGGCACUCCGCCUGGUGCAGGGCAGCUGCCUGGCUCCUGGAGACUUAAUGGAAAGCUUAACACUUCCUUCUGGGCUUGGCACGAAGGACACUUGCUCCUUCCUAACAUUCCCAUUGAUUCUUCUGCCUACGUGGCACCAGGGCCUUGAAGCCCUCCCUGGGAGGAGGCUGGGCAAGGUCUAGCCUGGCUGUUCUGCUCCUGGGGGGCUGGCGGAAACGGAGGGAUGACACUACCUUACGCCUGACCUUGCAGCCUUUGAGUGAGUGAGGGGACCUGUAGAGCCCCCAGCCAUCAGGAAAAAGGGAGGCAGAAAUGAGGACCCAUGUGUUUAGCUAAUCCUUGUCAGUGCGCCUCAACAUCAUUACAGUUAAAGGCAUGCACGCUUUAAAAAAAAAUGCUUGGCAUAUAGAGAGUUAAGCACUGGGAAGAAAAUAGCUUUCUACACCAUACCCCAGGAGGGAUCAUAGCAUCAUGUUUAAUAUGUAACUUUAUGUGUAUGUGGGGCGGGAGUCGAUUUUAUAUGCAAUGUACGGGCUAUAAGGAAGCAGUUAGAAUAUGUAUAUUUCAUGAUAACGAAUUGCAAGCAAAUUAAUAUUAAGAAUGAGAUAGUGCGUCCUUAGUUUAAAGUGAAAUGGACCCACACUGCUGGUGAUUUCACCUUGUUACCUGGGGAAAGCUCCUUUACUUCUCUGAGCUAGUCUUUUCAUCUGGAGCUUAAACCAACCUGCUGGUAAGUGUGUCCUCUGUUGGCAUGAAGGAGAUAGGAGGCGAUGAAAGUGAGACCCUCGCCGGGGGCCCAGCACAGAGGUGGGCUCUUUUUUUUUUUUUAAUUUAUUUUGAGACAGAGCAGAGGAGGGGAAGAGAGAGAGGGAGAGAGGAAGAAUUCCAAGCAGGCUCCACACUCAUGAACUCAUGAACUCCAAACUCAUGAACUCCAAACUCAUGAACGGUGAGAUCAUGACCAGGGCAGAAACCAAGAGCCGUAUGCUCAACCGACUGAGCCACCCAGGCUCUCCAGAAGUAGGCUCUGCACAAAGAAAAUUAUUUUAAAGAAUCCAUAGAUGUUUCCUUUUUCCAAAUGAAAUUUCUGAGGCUUUUUUUUUUCUUUCUUUGAGAAGUCAUUCCUCAUUGAAGAACUACCUAUCUGAAGCUGCUUCUCAUCGCACCGUAAAGCUAGAGGUGAUAAUUUCAAAACAAAACUGUUUAGUUCUCUUCUUUUCAGGAUAAAAUGAUAGCUCUCCUUGGACUGAUUUUGAUGAGCCAUGCACAUAAUGCAAAAAAAAAAAAAAAUAUGAGAAACCUAGCCCAACACUUGGUGAAAAUGAUGAACCGUGGGGCGCUGAUUUCAUGUGACUUGAAAAACGCCAUCCAUUUCCUGAUUCACCUUAAUUUCUGUGUGGAGAUGUGGGGGAUCUCUUACGUCUCUGAAAUAAGUAACCAGUGUUGUCUCCUCUUUGUGUCUCUCCCUUCCGACUGAAUUCCAGCCACGUCGCUGCCCUGCCUCCUCUGUCGAGCGGAGCCCAGAUCGCCACCCAGAAGAGGCGAAGAUGUGGCCGUAGGUCAGGAACGCCCUCAAAGGGAAACCUGGAUAUUUGUGAUCUUUACGCCGCGAGGAGAUAGUAUGAAUGUCAUGAAAAACCUCCGUCCAGAAAUCGUGGUCUCCAGGCGUCUGCAUCGUCACUGGCUUUUCCUACAGAGGAGCCAGGGACAACAUAUCACAGUCCUCAACCACAGUGUUCUUGCACCCUGGUCUUCUUUCUUUUAGAUCCAUGGCUUUCAAGGAUUCAUUGAACUGCUGGGUCAUCUGAUCAACCCCAUCAGUGUUUCUUUGUUUGCAGAUGGCCACAUUUUGGUGAAAAGAUAGGCCAUUUGAUGCCACGCUAGGAUUGCCUAGUGCUCUUUGUUGUUCAUGUAUGUAAAGACCCAUGAUUAUGGCUACAGGUGAUGCAGACUUAAGUUUUGAGAGGUGAGGCAUCUCCGGGUCGGCAGAGCUUAGGGUGUCCUCAGCCCCUACUCAAGUCCCUGGAGCUUCACCAGAAACUCUUUAGGGUUCUUUUACCCAAGAAAGGCUCACCACCGCCCUUUAUGUAGCAGCCCGCUCCCCCGUAAGCAGACCAGUUUUAUUCAAAAACAGCAGCCCGGAAACCAGGACGCAAUAGAAAGAAAAUAUGUCUGGCACAUGUGAGAAGGAGCACACGUGGGCACCGUACAAGGGGCAGGUGCCUGAACCUUACAUAGAAGGACUGGAUCCUCUCUGUGGGCACCUGCUCUCAGCCCUCUGCCAGUCUGCGCCCUGGACACUCAUCCUCUCCAUUUCUCUAAGUUUCCACCCAAGUCCAACCAGAGCCUGCCUCGAGCUUCCCUUGUCUGGUCAGAGAAACAUGCGUUGCCCCUGGCAUCUGGGCCGUGGAGGUUGACCCAGCACAGCUUGACCUUCACACGACCCAGGUGAGUUCUUAUCUGGGAACGCCCUGGAAUUAAUUCCACAGGUGAAAAACGCCUCAUGGCUACAUUCAGGGAGGCAGCCUACUUAAAGCCCGCCUGCUAAGAGCCACUGCAAAAACUGAAGGAUACAACAGCCCGAGGCUACAUUCAGUGAGAAGGGCUCACUUAGUUUUCACUCAGAAAAGUUUAGUAAUUCAUCUUGCUUCCAGGAAGGGCCUGGUAACAGAAGACACUGCAUAUUACUUUAGUAAAACUUUUGCUUUUACUUCUGUGUAUCCAGAGGACCAAAGUAGAUUAGAGAUCUGCAAGUAUUUUUGCCUUUUCUUUAUGGUUGAAUUUCUACCAACCCAAUUUCCGUAAAAAAAAAAAGAAAAGAAAAGAAAAAGUAAAAAAUAUCCAUGCUCAAAACACCUGAAGUCAUUUUCUUUUUUUUAAUAAGUAUAGUAUGGGGAGAAGGAAAAAGCUAGGUUUAAAAGAUUCUUGGAAUACCUAGAGGAAAUACAGAUGGUUUAUAGCAUGGAAAUAAGCAUCCGUAUGGUUUCCUAAGUGGUAUUUUCUGACAUUGGGCCUUGUAUGUAUCUCGUAUCUACAAGCAAAUAAUUGCUAUGCUGGAAUCCAUGUUCUUUUUAUUCCUCUGUCUUUGGAAAUAGAGCUUUGGGGGGAACUAAGUCCCUUUGGAAAUAUAUUUUCAAAAAUAAUGUGAGCCCUACAUAGAUUUAGGAAUAAAAUACAAAUUGGU
rnacentral:lncRNA from 1 species